rnacentral:rRNA from 1 species
UACGUAGGGACCGAGCGUUGUCCGGAAUCAUUGGGCGUAAAGAGCGUGUAGGCGGCCACUUAAGUCCUGCGUGAAAUCUUGCGGCUCAACCGCAAGCGGUCGUGGGAAACUGAGUGGCUAGAGUGCGGGAGAGGAGAGUGGAAUUCCUGGUGUAGCGGUGGAAUGCGCAGAUAUCGGGAAGAACACCCGUGGCGAAGGCGGCUCUCUGGGACGGUACUGACGCUGAGACGCGAAAGCGUGGGGAGCGAACAGG